CUGGAAAAGACAAUGAUGUUUCCUUUCCAAGCACAUAUCUGAGCCACAUGUGUGGAAAACCCCAAACUGAGUCUUUUCCAU
ensembl:snoRNA SNORD121B small nucleolar RNA, C/D box 121B